AACGCACAUUGCGCCCGCCAGUAUUCUGGCGGGCAUGCCUGUUCGAGCGUCAUUUCAACCAUCAAGCCCCCGGGCUUGUGUUGGGGACCUGCGGCUGCCGCAGGCCCUGAAAUCCAGUGGCGGGCUCGCUGACACACCGAGCGUAGUAGAUUUACAACCUCGCUUUGGGAGUGCUGCGGGUGCUAGCCGUAAAACGACCUUGUCUUUAGCACUAGGUUGACCUCGGAUCAGGUAGGAAGACCCGCUGAACUUAA
rnacentral:misc_RNA from 1 species